AUAUGUCACCUCCUGGGAAGCUCAAAUGACACAGCUGAUGAGGAUUUCAAACUCACUGUGUAGUGCUGUCCCAAGGAACAGAACACAAGAUACCAGCACUGUGAGAUCUGAGACCAAGGUGGGUCUGGACAUCACCAGAGUGAUCAUGAUAAAGGUUUGGGAGUUAAAGUGAACCUCCUGAAUAACCCCAAACUCCCUCGUUUCCACAGUGGCAGAAACAAGUCUUUGUGUGUUAUUGACAGAAAUGGAAGAGGGAAAAAAAAAAUCCUCUGGGUCUGCGUGUCAAGAAUGGAGAAAAAGAGGGAGGAAAGGUUAAAGCUGGAAGAGUGGAAAAGUUGACUGGGAGGAACAAGCCCGUUCGCUGCUCAGCGCCCUGCCCGUGCAGGUUGCAUGGUUGUGACCUGCUCCCCUGUGCUCCCUGCUGCCGAAGGAGGUCGGGAACCUGCUUUGGUCUCUGUUCUUCUGUGGCCACGUUCCCGACCCUUUGCCAAAGUGGGAACGCCUCUGAGUCGAGGCUGUGGGACUGCGCUCAUCCUGCCAAGCGCCCAGCUGGCUUGUCCUGUGGCAAGAGGGAAGUCUCCAUCGAGCCAAAGUGGCAUCUGUCAGGAUUCACGCUCUGGAAAAGAAGAUCAGGGUGAAUGGGGACCAAGGAGAAUAAAAGCUGACCCAAACCUUUGACCCAAAGUUAACAUAAAGCCAAAUGAAACCUUAGAGGUUUGUAAAUGUUCAUGAAACACUUCCACCUCCUGCCCACCCGCCCCUUAACUUUUGUUUCUUUAUACUCCUGUGCUUACUGUUUCUAAUUGAAAGUCUAAUGUAAAGCCCCAGUACAUUAAUUAAAGGACUUUCGGAGAUUUUAGUGACUUUUGAUUCAACCUCCCAAAGAACGGAAAUAAUUUCUUUAAUCAAAAACUUCUUAAACUUAAGAGAAAACAAAACCUGAGAAGAGAUGGAAAAGCAGAGGCCAAAUGUAAUUUUCUAGCAUGUCUUCUUGGUACGAACCAUGCCCAGGAGACUGAUAUGGACAUUGUUAAUCAGAAAAAAUCACUGUAUAGAAACAGAGAAUUGCUGAGCUAACAGUGGACUGAUUUAAUAAGCUGUAAUGUCUGUUCACAACAACUAGAAAGCUUGCUAUUAUUUACUGUCAGCUUGUGCUGUAGAAGAAUACCACGAGUAAUCAGCUGGCAUUUAUGACCCAAAGUUUGCAUAUAUAUGUGAGAAACUGAGUCUUUUUCUUUACACCAAAAUCACAAGAAAGUGCCAAUUACAUGAAAACCUCAUUAGGGAAAUAACUCUCUGCUACUGAUACAGUUUUUAACUUUCUAAGUGACUUCUGUCAGAAGGGGGUAGAAAUGUGAUAGUUUAUAGGGCUUAAUAAAACCUGAGCUUCCCAUGCUAUGCA
rnacentral:lncRNA from 1 species